rnacentral:rRNA from 1 species
GACGAGGGCUGGCGGCGUGGCUAAUACAUGCGAGUGGCACGGAAGGGAACACACUGUGCGACCACACCGUGUUUACUUGAGUCGCGAACGGGUGAGUAAGCCGUAGGUAACCUGCCUAUUAGCGGGGCAUAACUAUUGGAAACGAUACCUAAUACUGCAUAAUAUUAAUUAUUGCAUGAUAAUUGAUUCAAAGAUGCAUGGGCAUCACUAGUAGUGGACCUGCCUUGUAUUAGCUAGUUGGUAAGCUAAGAGCUUACCAAGGCGACGAUAACAUACGCGACCUGAGAGGCUGAACGGCCACACUGGCACUGAGACACGGCCCAGACUCCUACGGCAGGCAGCAGUAGGGAAUCUACCGCAAUGGCCGAAAGUCUGACCGACCAACGCCGCGUGAGUGAAGAAGGUUUACGCAUCGUAAAGCUCUGUUGUAAGUCAAGAACGUGUGUGAGAGUGGAAAGUUCACACAGUGACGGUAGCUUACCAGAAAGGGACGGCUAACUACGUGCCAGCAGCCGCGGUAAUACGUAGGUCCCGAGCGUUGUCCGGAUUUAUUGGGCGUAAAGGCAGCGCAGGCGGUCAGGAAAGUCUGGAGUAAAACGCUAUGGCUCAACCAUAGUGUGCUCUGCAAACUGUCUGACUUGAGUGCAGAAGGGCAGAGUGGAAUUCCAUGUGUAGCGGUGAAAUGCGUAGAUAUAUCGAGGAACACCAGUGGCGACAGCGGCUUACUGGUCUGUCACUGACGCUGAGGCUCGAAAGCCUGGGUAGCGAACAGGAUUACAUACCCUGGUAGUCCACGCCGUAAACGAUGAGUGCUAGGUGUUAGGCCCUAUCCGCGGCUUAGUGCCGGAGCUAACGCAAUAAGCACUCCCGGUGGCGAGUACGACCGCAAGGUUGAAACUCAAACGAAUUGACGGGCGCCCGCACAAGCGGUGGAGCAUGUGGUUAAAUUCGAAGCAACGCCAAGAACCUUACCAGGUCUUGACAUCCCGAUGCUAUUCUUAGAGAUAGGAAGUUACUUCGGUACAUCGGAGACAGGUGGUGCAUGGUUGUCGUCAGCUCGUGUCGUGAGAUGUUGGGUUAAGUCCGGCAACGAGCGCAAGCCAUAUUGUUAGUUGCCAUCAUUAAGUUGGGCAGUCUAGCGAGACUGCCGGUAAUUAACGGCAGGAAGGUGGCGAUGACGUCAAAUCAUCAUGCCGGUUAUGACCUGGGCUACACACGUGCUACAAUGGUCGGUACUACGAGUUGCGAGCGGCUGACGGCAAGCUAAUCUCUGAAAGGCCAUCUCAGUUCGGAUUGGAGGCUGCAACUCGCCUCCAUGAACUCGGAAUCGCUAGUAAUCGCGGAUCAGCACGCCGCGGUGAAUACGUUCCCGGCGCUUAAACACACCGCCGGUCACACCACGAGAGUUUGUAACACCCGAAGUCGGUGAGGUAACCUUUAGGGGGCCGGCCGCCUAAGGUGGGAAGGAUG